ACCUGGGUGGCUCAGUGGUUGAGCAUCUGCCUUAGGCUCAGGUCAUGACCCCGGGCCCUGGGAUCAAGUCCCAAUUCAGGCU
rnacentral:tRNA from 1 species